AUACGUAGGUGACAAGCGUUAUCCGGAUUUACUGGGCGUAAAGGGCGUGUAGGCGGUCUUUCAAGUCAGAAGUGAAAUUCCUGAGCUCAACUCGGGCGCUGCUUCUGAAACUGCAGGACUUGAGUGCUGGAGGGGCUAGCGGAAUUCCUAGUGGAGCGGUAAAAUGCGCAGAUAGUAGGAAGAACACCGGUGGCGAAGGCGGCUAUCUGAACAGGAAAUGACCGUGAGGCGCGAAAGCGUGAGGAGCUAAGAGCAUUCGAUUCCCUGUUAUACCACGCCGUAAACGAUGAAUACUUGGUGUAGGGGGUAUCGACACCCUCUGUGCCGCAGUUAACACAAUAAGUAUUCCGCCUGGGGAGUUCGGCCGCAAGGUUGAAACUCAAAGGAAUUGACGGGG
rnacentral:rRNA from 1 species